AGCAGCCGCGGUAAUUCCAGCUCCAAUAGCGUAUAUUAAAGUUGUUGCAGUUAAAAAGCUCGUAGUUGAAUUUCGGGGUCAGCAAGUUGGUCGUGCCACCGGUAUGUACUGGCUUUGCUGAUUCCUCCUUCUUGUAGAACCGUAAUGCCAUUAAGUUGGUGUUGCGGGAAAACAGGACUGUUACUUUGAAAAAAUUAGAGUGUUUAAAGCAGGCUAACGCUUGAAUACAUUAGCAUGGAAUAAUAAAAUAGGACGACGAUCCUAUUUUGUUGGUUUCUAGGAUUGACGUAAUGAUUAAUAGGGAUAGUUGGGGGCAUUAGUAUUCAAUUGUCAGAGGUGAAAUUCUUGGAUUUAUUGAAGACUGACUACUGCGAAAGCAUUUGCCAAGGAUGUUUUCAUUAAUCAAGAACGAAAGUUAGGGGAUCGAAGACGAUCAGAUACCGUCGUAGUCUUAACCAUAAACUAUGCCGACUAGGGAUCGGAUGAUGUUAAUUUUAUAAUGACUCAUUCGGCGCCUUAAC
rnacentral:rRNA from 1 species